rnacentral:rRNA from 1 species
UACAGAGGUCCCAAGCGUUGUUCGGAUUCACUGGGCGUAAAGGGUGCGUAGGCGGUUGGGUAAGUCUGAUGUGAAAUCUCACAGCUUAACUGUGAAACUGCAUUGGAUACUAUCCGGCUAGAGGAAUGGAGGGGAGACUGGAAUACUGGUGUAGCAGUGAAAUGCGUAGAUAUCAAGUGGAACACCAGUGGCGAAGGCGAGUCUCUGGACAUUUCCUGACGCUGAGGCACGAAAGCCAGGGGAGCAAACGGG